rfam:Schistosoma curassoni strain Dakar, Senegal genome assembly, scaffold: SCTD_scaffold0001133
AGCCUUCUGAAUUCGUGUCGAGAUUUGUCGGACACCAGACCAUCAGCUCUGAUGAGACUCCCAAUAUAAGUGAAGUG